GUGACACUGGACUGAGUCAGCUUCCAUCCCAAGGCAGCUACAGACACACAAUUCAGAGAAACUUUGUGCAAAAGAGAUUAAAGAUGCUCCUGAUCAUCCUGAUUCAACUCCUGAUCGUCGCAUCAGCAAAUGCCCAGGCAACCACCACUGUAGCACCUACAACUGCAGCACCCACCACUGCAGCAGCUACAACUGUAGCAGCUACAACUGCAGCACC